UACGAAGGGGGCUAGCGUUGUCCGGAAUUAUUGGGCGUAAAGAGCUCGUAGGCGGUUUGUCGCGUCGAAUGUGAAAACCCGGGGCUCAACCCCGGGCCUGCAUUCGAUACGGGCAGACUAGAGUUCGGUAGGGGAGUCUGGAAUUCCUGGUGUAGCGGUGAAAUGCGCAGAUAUCAGGAGGAACACCGGUGGCGAAGGCGGGACUCUGGGCCGAUACUGACGCUGAGGAGCGAAAGCGUGGGGAGCGAACAGG
rnacentral:rRNA from 1 species